ACUAAACAUCGCGUACCUCUUCUGGGAGGUAUCAGUGCUGUAGGGAAGCCGUAGAGUGUGCUACCUGGGAAGUAUAGGCGCAAGCCCGAAACUUAAAGGAAUAGGCGGCGGGAUACUACAACCAGUGACGCGUGCGGUUUAAUUGGAUUCUACACCGCGAACCUUACCAGGAUCGACAGCAGGAUGAAGGUCAGUCUGAAGGGCUUACCUGACACGCUGAGAGGAGCUGCAUGGCCAACGUCAGCCUGUGUCGUGAGAUGAUCUGUUAAAUCAGGUAACAGGCGAGACCCGUGUGUACAUUUGCAUGAACAAUGUAUGGACUGCCUUGGCAACGAGGAGGAAGGUGCGGGCUACGUUAGGUAAGUAAAUCCCGAAUACCCUGGGCUACACGCGCGCGGCAAUGCUACAUUCAAAGGGUUGCGACACCGUAAGGUGAAGCUAAUCUCAUAAACUGUAGCUUAGUUCAGAUUGAGGCUUGCAACUCAGCCUCAUGACGCUGGAAUUGGUAGUAAUUGGUCUUUAUCAGAGACCAGUGAAUAAGUCAAUGUCCCGUGCUCUCACCGCCCGUCAAACCAACCGAGUUUAGCCUUGGCGAGGCCCGUCAGGGACGAACCUUUGUUAGACAAGGUAGGUUAAGUCGUAACAAGGUAGCC
rnacentral:rRNA from 1 species